CCUACGGGGGACAGCAGUGAGGAAUAUUGGUCAAUGGGCGCGAGCCUGAACCAGCCAAGCAGCGUGAAGGAUGACUGCCCUACGGGUUGUAAACUCCUUUUAUAAAGGAAUAAAGUGAGGCACGUGUGCCUUUUUGUAUGUACUUUAUGAAUAAGGAUCGGCUAACUCCGUGCCAGCAGCCGCGGUAAUACGGAGGAUCCGAGCGUUAUCCGGAUUUAUUGGGUUUAAAGGGAGCGUAGAUGGGUUGUUAAGUCAGUUGGGAAAGUUUGCGGCUCAACCGUAAAAUUGCAAUUGAUACUGGCAGUCUUGAGUACAGGUGAGGUAGGCGGAAUUCGUGGUGUAGCGGUGAAAUGCUUAGAUAUCACGAAGAACACCGAUGGCGAAGGCAGCUUACUAAACUGCCACUGACAUUGAUGCUCGAAAGUGUGGGUAUCAAACAGGAUUAGAUACCCGGGUAGUC
rnacentral:rRNA from 1 species